UGGGGAAUAUUGCACAAUGGAGGGAACUCUGCUGCAGCGACGCCGCGUGAACGAAGAAGGCUUUCGAGUCGUAAAGUUCUUUUAUAUGGGAAGAUAAUGACGGUACCAUAAGAAAAAGCCCCGGCUAACUACCUGCCAGCAGCCGCGGUAAUACGCAGGGGGCUAGCGUUGUCUGGAAUCACUGGGCGUAAAGGGUUCGCAGGCGGAAAUGCAAGUCAGGUGUAAAAGGCAGUAGCUUAACUACUGUAAGCAUUUGAAACUGCAUAUCUUGAGAAGAGUAGAGGUAGGUGGAAUUAUUAGUGUAGCGGUGAAAUGCGUAGAUAUUAAAAAGAAUACCGGUGGCGAAGGCGACUUACUGGGCUCAUUCUGACGCUGAGGAACGAAAGCGUGGGUAGCAAACAGG
rnacentral:rRNA from 1 species